CCUACGGGUGGCAGCAGUGAGGAAUAUUGGUCAAUGGGCGUAAGCCUGAACCAGCCAAGUCGCGUGAGGGAUGAAGGUUCUAUGGAUCGUAAACCUCUUUUAUCAGGGAAUAAAGUGUGGGACGUGUCCUGUUUUGUAUGUACCUUAUGAAUAAGGAUCGGCUAACUCCGUGCCAGCAGCCGCGGUAAUACGGAGGAUCCGAGCGUUAUCCGGAUUUUUUGGGGUUAAAGGGUGCGUAGGCGGCCUUUUAAGUCAGCGGUGAAAGUCUGUGGCUCAACCAUAGAAUUGCCGUUGAAACUGGGAGGCUUGAGUAUGCUUGAGGCAGGCGGAAUGCGUGGUGUAGCGGUGAAAUGCUUAGAUAUCACGCAGAACCCCGAUUGCGAAGGCAGCCUGCCAAGCCAUGACUGACGCUGAUGCACGAAAGCGUGGGGAUCAAACAGUAUUAGAUACCCCUGUAGUC
rnacentral:rRNA from 1 species